UAUCAUUGGCAUUGACUGUUCACCGAGGACACGCGCUCCAAUAUCCGCAACGGCACCCGGAAGCGCACGGGGCCGUUUGAGUGGCCUGCUUCUUGUGCUUUCUGCAUACUUGAAUACACCUUCACACUCACGGAGACAGCAACAGCACGACACACACACACACACACACACACACAUACACACAAACAGUCACGAAGCGAAGCCGAGGAACGUGAAGGGAACACCUUUCUCACAGGGGGCGUGGCGGAUACGCAGCGGUCCUGAUUGUUUAGCGCUAGCGGUGGCGCGUUGCCGGUGCCCGCGCAUUGCGUACGCCUUCUUUGGUUUCUCGAAGGUAUUUGUCUCUCUUCUUCGUCCACUGGCGUUCUCUCUUCCAGCGCACAGAGGGACGCGCGCGCGUUGUGAGUGAGUGUGUGUGUGAGACGGUGUUGUAUUUGUCCGCAAGGUCAGCUCCAGCUGCUUCCCUCUUUUUUCCCAUUUUGAUGCCUUCCUUUCAUCAUUGUACGACGUCAUCUGCGUUGGGCGACUUCUUCUUCUCUCUCUGUUGUUGUUCGUAGAGGCAAAGAGGAUAAAGCGCGGUCACACGUUCCGCGUGUGUCUUGCUUGCCUGCGUCUCUGCAUGUGCAGGCGCGCCCGCGUCGCGGUGGCCGUCCCCCGGUAGCUCGGAACAGCGUGAGGGAAGAGAGGGCGCAGGGGCACUCGUCAACGGGUGCGUGCCUUUGCUGCCUCCCUCCCCCCUCCUCUCACUCACUCAUCUUAGCUGCUCGACCAUCUUUCCUGUGCUCCUCGUGUGAGCCACAACAAG
rnacentral:misc_RNA from 1 species